rnacentral:lncRNA from 1 species
UUUCCUGGAAAACACGCCAAGGGAAACAGAGAGGAGGUCACAGGCAGGCCCACUAAAGCUGCUCACAAGCGUUUCUCCUCUUUUUCCCUCUAAGGCCAAUUGCUGCUUUGGCUUCCAAGGGGAACAGCCCACCUCACCUUGGGAGCAACCCCACAAGGAGCCAUUCCCACUAACACUCAGUUUCACUCAUGACAUGGCCCUACAGGGAAAUAAAACCCUACAAUAUGCCUGGGAACGAUCCCAGCUCUUUCCUCUGGAAAACAUCUUCUCCCCACCCUGCAGAACCCUGAACUCCUCUGGCCGUGCUGUUUGGCUCUGCCCCCAUGGUCAGAGCCUGAGGUGGGGCUGCUGCAGCCCCUCACCUCUGACCCACCACUUCCAACACCCCUUCCUCCUCCUCCUCCUCCCUCUUCCAUCUGGCCCUUUCCCAGCAGCCAACAAGCCCAGCCUUUGUCCUCCCCUGCAGGCACCUCUGAUCCCUGUGCCCUCUCCCCACCCUGCUCUCCACUGCAUUGUGACAUCCAAGCACUGCAAAGUUUAGGAACAUGUAAAGAGUUCCCAGAGGGAAAAAUUUAUAAAAUAGCCCUUGAGUGUGUGCUGAGUGGUUUUCUUUCAGACAGAGCUUGCACCUGGCUGCAGACACCACUGACUGUGGACACACUCCUCACCUCACCCAUCACCCAGCUCACCCACACCACCUGCCUUUGCUCACAGAAAGCCUGCACUGGGGGCUCUGCCUUUGGUUUCUGUUCUGCAACAACCCCAGAGAAGAAGAAAGCCUUGCAGACACGUCUCCUGGCUCAGCAGGCUCCCCUGCCUUCACUGCUCUGGAAUUGGCUUCCACGGGUACCUCUGGAAGAGCCCCUCUGCGGGAGGUGCCCAGACAAAGCACCACAGGUGCAGAUCAAACACAUCAAAGAGGGAAAUCUGCCCUCUGCUUUGACUCCAGCAUCAGCCUCUCUGAUGAGCUGCUUCCCUCUCAUUACUGCUCAUUUUGCCCCCUAGUCCUGUCCACAGCUCUGGCCUUCAAUUAUGCCAUCAGCUCCAUCACCGGGAAUAUUUCAUCAGUGCCUGCCCAGCUCUUCUCUUCCCUUGGACCCCAUCUUUGCAUCUGCUCCUCCCAGACACUUUUCCUGUCCAGGUGAUGGCUUUCUUUGUGGCAGGGCUGCAAGACCUGAGCUGCUCCAGGGCUGACACAUCCCCUGGGGCAAAGCCCCACUCUGGGAGCAGCACAGCAGCAUGCAGGAAGGUGGCAAUCUGCAACAGAUCUCUGUUUACACACACACACACACCAGAACGCUGCUAAGUGCUUUUUGAGAGGGAGGUGGGACCAGAGAGCUCCUCUAACCUACACAAUCCUACCAUUCUGUCAGUGUCUUGUAAACAAAAUAAUCCAGGCUGGAGCUGGAAGCGGCUGCUCACUUGACAGCACAGCAGAGAGGUCUCGCAGCUCCGUGUCCCCUCUGCUGUGGCAUUUCCCUUCUCAAAUCCAUCACAACUCAGACAGGACGUCAAAGGUCUCUUUCAAGUGCCCUACCUCUGCAAAUCCUCCCGUAAGGAAGGAGAUAAUUGCACCUGCUUAAGGCUCGGGACGUCACCGCAGUGUAACAUGCAAUUAUUGUAGCACCUGGAAGAAUUGGAUAGAGAAAACACCAGUGCAAGUCCUCACUGCUCAAAAAACACUUCAUGCUUUUCCCUUUGCCCAGUGCUUUCUGACAGGGAAGGGAGGGCUGAUUUCUGGAGGUAGACUACUUCAAUUGAAGCUUUAUUUUUAUUUUAUUAAGCCUGUUCCCAGCCCAAAGGUGCCCAUGGCUUCCAGUGGUAUUUCCCAGAGGAGCAAUUCUGCCCCUGGAAAGUGAGGAGCUCUCAGUUAGCACCACUAAGAGGGAGAUGAUGCUCAGUUUGACAAUGAGACUGUCAGUGGGCUCUGAAAUGUCACUCCCACACCUCGCAGAUGCAGUUGGCUCAUCCCUUGUUUCACAGCAAUGUACUGGAGCUCCUUUUGUAACUGAUACAAAAUGUUUCACCAGGCUGGAGCUUUAAUUUGGAAAAAACCAGCUCCCCUUCCCAUUGAAAGGCAUUUUAAUUAAUUGUCUUGAACAUAUUUAAACUGUUCCAUCCUUUCUAAAGACACUUUUCCAGGAACAAACCAUGUCCUUAAGUAAAACCCAUAUGGCACCAAGCUGAACUAAAAAAGCCCCAAAACACUACAAAAAACCAAACUGAUAUUUCAAGAAGGUGGAUCUCCCACCUAUCAUCAUUCUUGUCUCUGACUUUGCCAGACCUUAUAUCUGUGAAUAACUCUGGAAGGAUAACCAGGACAAAUGUUUGUAUGAUGGCAGCUUGACAGUGUAACUUGUUUUGAAACAAGCAUGUAAGAUAAAUCACAACUGGAAUGACAGGAAAAAACCAAGUGAGACGAGACACCAAAAACCCGUGGGAGAGAGAUAACACAAGUUCCAUGGAGUUCUGGUAUCUAAUCUUACAGUAAGCCCAUCAUUUCAGUAGCAAAAAUAAUCCAUUAGAUGAGCUUUCCUUUUUAGCAUCAAUUUUCAAUCCAUACAAAAAUCGUCCCAAAAAGCCUUAAGCACUAACCACUGCAAUCUUCACAUCCUCUCUAUCCCUUCACAUUUCUUGCUCCUCUCCGGCCAAAUGCAGGUGGAAAAGGAGGGAAUCCCUACAAAACAGCCCAAUCUCACUCUAUCCUGAAUCCUGGAUAUAUGAAAACAUGGCUGUAGAAAGCAAAAUGUAUCCCUGAAAUAACAGUUUACUCAGAAACAAAACUGCCAUUUUCAUCCUGUGGUAACUCAACCUCCCCUCCUGACCUGGAGCUUUGUGGAAGUUGGACUGGGAUGUGACAUUUUCCAAGGGCCCAGAUCGAUCCACAUCUACAGGCGUUGUUCUUCAACUUCAUCAGCUAAACACACCAGAUUUGCCUCCUAGGGUUGGAGCAACACUGUUUGCUCUCUGUUCCAUCACACAAAGUUUGAAAGUGAACUCGAUUAGGUUGGUUAUUUGUCUUAAAACUAAGGCAAUGGUCACUUCAUCACUGGCAAUAAAAUCAGCUUGUCCUUAGAACUCAUUGCAGCUCUGUAACUCAUUGCAACUUCUGCUUCCACAGGAGGUUGAAGUUUCUUGUUGGAGAAAACUGGCUAUGUAAAAAUAUUCCCAAUACAUAAAGUCUUAAUCAGUCCAUGGAUUGGUUGCUGGUACUUGGUUGGAGAAAGGAAGACAAGCACACUCCACACCAAAUCCUGUGCAGUUGUUCUCCUCCAUUACACAAACACUUGGCAGGCUUCCUCUGUAAAAUUUAUGCACUAAAAUUAGCUCUCACAAUUGCAAUCAAUUGCAACAAUCAAGCAUAAGUAAUUCCAGGGAAAGGAAAAGGGAAAAAAAAAAAAAA